UUCAAGGCCACCCUGGGACACACAACAAGACCCUUUUAAGGGGAUGAAGAGAGAAAAAAUAUGCAGCGGGCAAUAGUUGACGCUCACUAACACUUGUUUCAACAGGCCGUCUGUUUUUCUACACCUAAAAGUCACGACAUGUGAGUACCUGACAGAAGCCUAGCGACAAGCUUCUAAGCAUUCAGCAGAGCACCGACCACGAACUGGACCGUUAGGAACAAAGGAAGAGGAUCGGUGACUGCAGAUUCUCCCCACCCCAGAGCUCUGACUUGGGAAAUUAUAUUUUCUUUUGCAUUUCCAAGUGAAUUGUGAAAAACUGGAUUUGUAUAAUAAACAAAAGCAUGAAGCCUACUGGAGCAAUCUGCUAACCAGAUGAUCACCUGGGUGAUCCGGCUGUUCCAGAACCUUAGGAGAACUACUCAUACUAUACAAUCUCGCUUUACACGUGAAAUGAUAGCCUUUGGAUAUUCAUGGUAUAUUGUAGACUGAAACUUCAGAUAUAUCAACAGGUGCACUUAAACUAACUCCAUGGGACGU
rnacentral:lncRNA from 1 species